rnacentral:lncRNA from 1 species
AAGAAAAGCCCAGAGUUCAAAAUCAGGGCUGGGUCUGCUGUCUGUGGUGUGGGCUCUUCCCAUUCUGCCCAUUUACAAAGGGGACUGGUUGAUGAAACUUUAGCUUAUCUCAAUGGAACGUAUUGUUGAUGGAAUUUCAGGCAGCGCUGAGUCUAACAGCAGGUGAAAUAUAAUCAACCCUGCUGGGGUAGCUGGGAAAGCCUUCAUAUGAGAGGUGACGUGGGAGCUGAGUUUUGAAGCAUGAAUGGGAGUUUUCCAGGUGAGAUAGGAAAAGGCCAUUCCAAGUAAAAGGAGAAAAUAGCCAAAGAUAUGCAGGUUUAAAAAAUCAGGAAGAAUUUCCUGGGAAAUGGUGCAAUGUGUAUGAGGAUGGGGCUGUGGAAAAGUCAGGAGGCUGCAGAGACAGAUACGGUUCUGACCAUAUCACGGAGGGGAUGAAGGGCUGUGGGAAAAUCAAGAGCAGGGAAGCAAUAAAGUGAGGUUUGCGGCUCAGGAAGAUGAUCAGGGAAGCCAUGGGGCAGAGGAUGGAUUGGAGGGAAUGUGGCUCAGGGCAGAGGCGCGGGUGGAUGAGCUCAUUGCAGCAGCACUCUUGAGAGAUGCCAGCAGUGGGGGGUCAAGAGGAGAGGCUGGAAGACUGUAAGGGAGUGUGGUAGGGGUUAGAGGGAAGGAAAGGGACCUAGCUUGCAAAUGUUCACCAUGACCCUGUGAAAGAGGCAUUAUCGCCCGCUUUUACAGAUAAGACAGCAGAGACACAUACAAAAAUUCGGUAACAAAGCCUCACAAGUCCUACCAGUCUACGGGACUCCACAGUCAGCUCUGUUGCCCCUAACUCCUAGGGAAGGGGGAAAAAGCGUCCAUUAAUCUCAGAAGACCAGAGUUUCACCCUGGGGUCCUGGGCAAAUAGCAAUAUUGACAGACAUCACUGCUGCUUCCCAAUAUCCUGCCUCCUUUUUUGUGGGCAGGUGCGGGCACGUGACUAGUUCUGGCCAAUGCGUUGAGAGUGAAGCUGACAGAUGACACUUCUGGGCUGGCACAUGUGCCAGCUGAUGUGAGGCCCUUCAGCUCUCCAUUUUGCUUUGUUGCACAAGGAAACACGAGUUGAGAUGCAGACUUCAUCAGCUUGGGAACUUCAGUGACGGGGCUGAGCAGGAGCCACCUGCCUACCCACGUUGCUGCCGAGUAUGAGUGGGAAAUAAUUCCCGGUUGUUUUAGGCCAUGGCCACUUAGUCACCUGUUCUUGCAGCAGAGCCUGCUGCAUACUGACUGAUAUGGUGAUGUGGGUCCUUGAGCAAGGGCAUAAAGGAGGAGGAGCAGGCUGAGGGCAGGGGUGGAAAAAAUGGAUUUGGCAAGACUGAGUUGGGGCAUAACAUUUUAGUACAAGGAAAUCAGGCUUUGGAGGUUAGCAAGCCUGGGUCCAAUGCCACCUCAGGCACCCACUAUCUGAGGGCAAAGGCUCCUGGCUUUUCUGGCCUCAGUUUCCUGAGCAAUAGGGAGAGUUGUAAUCACUACCCCCUUGGCCUUUAGGGUGAGUAGAGCUGACACAUACAGAGCUCCAGCAAGGUACCCAGGCCCUAGGAAGCACUCAGCAAACACAAUCAUCACCCUGGGAAGAUGGCGAGAAGAGAGUGGGCAAUUUGUGCACCGAAAGAAUAGCCAGAUCUGUGGGGGCAUUUCUCCCUGACAUAUUGAUACCAAGCCCAGCCUUGAUUUUCCAGGGGAUGCCCCACUCCUUAUUGCAAAGUCUCUGUUCUGACCUCUGGUAUCCCCUCAGGGACCCUUCAGGCCAUGAGUUCAAAUGCCUGGGAAGCCCACCUCACAGGAGCCUCAAGUCCCAUCCGUCUUGUUCCCAAGUCUGGCAGGAUCCUGACAGCCCCAUGCAUGUGCCUGUCCUCAGACCCCUGCAGAGGGCUGGGUGCAGACCUUGGCAGGAGUAGGCUGGCAGGCAGUCUCUUUCCUUCCCAGGCAGACGUGUGUGUAGCAAGUCUGUUUAUCAGGCAACGCCUUGUAGCCAGCGGUGGCGGCUUAACAGUGGCAGAAACGCCCGCAUUGCCUCACCAGCUGCUGGGUACUAAGAUGCGCCCUUGGCCUCAGCUGGCAGAUAAGCACCUGCAUUGGAGAGGGAACCCUUGAUCAUGGGCUGAUAAGUGCAGGGAAGAAACAACAACAACAACAAGAAAAAGCUGAGCAACCCGCUGUGGAAGGCUUUUUCAUGUACGCAUGGGCGUGUUUCUUGUCUUCGCCAACACAGAGGUGAUGCAAAAGCUCUGAUUCUAAUUUAAUUUGGUGGUCACGCAAUCAUGGAAUGAGAGCAUGUCAGAGCUGGAAGGGACUCUGGGGAUUGUCUGGUUGAACUCUUUAAUCUUCCAGGUGAGGACAGUGAGGGCCACAGAGCUGUACCGACUUGUUCAGGAUCAUCCAGCAAAGUUUUGGUGGAGCUGGAACUAAACCCGAGGGUCUCGAGACCCUUGGGCCUGCGAUCUUUCCAUCAUAUGGGAUUGCUUCACAGGCUGCCACCUGAUCGCUUAGGUGUAGACCGCAGGUUGCCCUUUGGUGCCUUAACAGUCCUCUUUAAUAUCACUAAUUGGCCCUGUCUGCCUGCAGAGUCAGAUAGAUGCCCCCUGUCCCUGCUUCUCCCCCACCACAUGCCAGCUAUUGGGGUUGACCAGUUAGCUCAAGGCCACAGGGUCUGAUGCUACUGUUUCAAACACUGUUAUUUCAUAUUUUGAAAAAGCAAGGUUCAGAUAAGAGAGGCAACUUGCCUAGGUGAUACAGCUAGAGAAAGUGAAAGACCUGGGUCUAAAAUUUUCAGGUUCCUCAUUUCAGUUCUUUCCAUACAUAGUGUAUGAAACCCAGGUGUGGGUGAAGGUGGGCAGAAGGGCACCCGGCCUCUGCAACUUUCCCCUGUGACCUGGUUUUGGGGAAGAGUUGCACAUGUUUCCUCAAGGACAGAAAUGGAGUCUGGCAAGACUUUGUAUUGAAAAUCUUGUUCUCAGUAGGGGCCUCCUAAGCAAUGGGUAUAGAUAAAUGAAUGAAUCCUUUUUUUUUGUUUGUUUUUUUGAGACGGAGUCUUACUCCAUUGCCCAGGCUGGGGUGUGAUGAUCCGAUCUCAGCUCACUGCAACCUCCAUCUCCUGGGUUCAAGCAAUUCUCCUGUCUCAGCUUCCCCAGUAGCUGGGACCACAGGCGUGUGCCACCAUGCCUAGCUAAGUUUUAUAUUUUUUUUAGUAGAGAGGGGUUUUCACCAUGUUGGCCGGGCUGGUCUCGAACUCCUGACUUUAGGUGAUCUGGCCACCUUGGCCUCCCAAAGUGCUGGGAUUACAGGCGUGAGUCACUGUGCCUGUUUUUUUUUUUUUUUUUUUUUUUUUUAGAAGGAGUCUCACUCAGUUGCCCAGGCUGGAGUACAGUGGCACUAUUUCAGCUCACUGCAAACUCCAUCUCCUGGGUUCAAGCCAUUCUCCUGCCUCAGCCUCCCGAGUAGCUGGGAUUAUAGGCGCCCACCACCAAACCUGGCUAAUCUUGUAUUUUUAGUAGAGAUGGGGUUUCGCCAUGUUGGCCAGGCCGGUCUCGAACUCCUGACCUUAGGCGAUCUGCCCGUCUCAGCCAUCCUAAGUGCUGGGAUUACAGGUGUAAGCCACUGCGCCCAGCUGAUAAAUGAGUGAAUGGUAGGGUUUUGGUGGAAUAUUCAUACUGCAAAAAGUGUUUUCAAACUGUAGGCUACUUAUUUUUCUCUGUGAAACUUGCUUUCUAGGUUUGAUCUGUGAAUGGGGUGAAACAGAGAAAUCUAGAUUUGAGUUUAAAAUUGCUUCUACAUCAAAGAAAGUCAUGAACAACAGCAACAACAAACUAGUAUCACCUCAAGAGUCAUCAAUAUAAUUGUUACGCUCAAUUUCAGUUACUUGCGUGUCCCGCUGGAACUCUAUCAACUGCAAUAGAGAGGCACCAGGAUCAAGAGGCCAAAGAAGAGACCCAGAGCUAGCAAAAGAGGCAUAGGGUUUUAUUAGCGGGAACUUACCUCCUGAGUGGUCCCAUGGUGGCGGGUGAGGUAGAAGAACUGCAACCUCUUGCGAAAGGCAUGCAGUUUAUAUAGCAUUUUCUCUCAGCACCCUCCCACUAACAACCUCCACCUGGCGAACUUUAGCCGACCCUCAAAACUGAGGCUUCAAUCCCUUUCAUGGCCCGCAUUCCAAGGGACAGGUGGGGGGUUCAGGUGUUCCUCAUAGAUAAGGAAUGAAUUU